rnacentral:rRNA from 1 species
UAGAGCGAACGCUGGCGGCAGGCCUAACACAUGCAAGUCGAACGCACCUUCGGGUGAGUGGCGGACGGGUGAGUAACACGUGGGAACGUACCUUUAGGUUCGGAACAACUCAGGGAAACUUGAGCUAAUACCGAAUGUGCCCGAAAGGGGAAAGAUUUAUCGCCUUUAGAGCGGCCCGCGUUAGAUUAGCUAGUUGGUGAGGUAAUGGCCCACCAAGGCUACGAUCUAUAGCUGGUCUGAGAGGAUGAUCAGCCACACUGGGACUGAGACACGGCCCAGACUCCUACGGGAGGCAGCAGUGGGGAAUCUUGCGCAAUGGGCGAAAGCCUGACGCAGCCAUGCCGCGUGAAUGAUGAAGGUCUUAGGAUUGUAAAAUUCUUUCAGCAGGGACAUAAUGACGGUACCUGCAGAAGAAGCCCCGGCUAACUUCGUGCCAGCAGCCGC